UUUAACGAAUAAGAAUGGGUUUUUCACAGUUCACAUGUAAUAUUAUAUGACGAAUAUUUGUAAAACAAUCUGGUAUUGGUGGAAAAGAUUUAACAAAAAUUAUUGCUAGCUAAUAAAAGUUUGUUUGGAAGGAAUUGAGAAAACGAAUAGGAAUGGAUAUAGUAACUUCGAAUAGGAAAGACAUGACAUUUUAUGACUGCAGAAAUUGAACUUAUAAAUAUUGAAAUAUUUUGAAGAAUUAUAAGAAAUGAUAGUAAACUGGAAUAAUAUUAAUAAUUUGAAGAUAUAUAUUGAACUAAAGAAUAAUUAUUAUUUAUAAGAAGAUUUAAUUACUACAAGGCGAUCCCAGGAAGAAGACUACGAGUAUAAACUACGAAGAGCUGAAAUCAUAUUAAGGCGUUCCCAGGACGAAGAAAGAAAUAUUUGUAAUAAUCAACUGUACGAGACCAUACGGAAACGACGAGAGGCGUUCCCAGGACGAAGACGAUCAACGAUAGGCGUUCCCAGGACGAAGACGACUAAUUGCUACUAGGCGUUCCCAGGACGAAGAUACAAGACAGCGAAUGGGCGUGCCAAGGAUGAAGACGCAGAAGAUUCAUUGCUGAGGUCCUGGUUGAAAGAAGACAAACAUAGUAACGCAUAGUUCGUUACCACGGAACUAUAAUAACAGGGCCUGACAUCUCAGCAGCGACUUCGGCGAUGGUAGCUCACGACAACACAGGCCAGGGAUAUAGAGUAAAGGACUUGGUCACAGUCUUUAGCAAGCAACCAUCCCGGAAACUACCUGGAGUGUUGUCGUGAAUCUGUGGAAAACCAUAAUCGAGAUGGUCAGACUGGUUGAGUAGUUUGAUCACUCGCCUCCUGCCAAGGCGGGUUCAAAACUGUAUUUUCCGAAAGUGAGAAACAUGACGGCCGCAGACCUCGCUAAUGCAUUCUGACAGUGCUCCAUCAUCGGCACGUCACUUCCCAUGCGUCCCUGUAAGGACCAUGGUGUUGGCGUGAUGUUGAGUCCUUCAUUCGUUCGUCCAACCCGGUGACUCUCAAACAUUUUGAAGUCGGGGCGUGUUUAAGAUCCUACAAAUAAUUAUAGGCUCACUAUAAAUGAAUUUCUGAGAAAUAUGUUAUGAUAAUUAAGUUAAAUAUUACAAAAAACAAACAUUGUGAUAAAAAAUAAAAUGAAACAUAUAAUAAGUGUACUUAUUCUUGUAUUUUUGAGUGAAGGAGCCUAUUGAAAUGUGUUAAUAAACAGAGCUGUAAAUUCCUAAUU